AGUGAUAAAGUGGUUCUCGACUUCGUCUUCUUCCUCUAGGAUCUCUAUGAUCUCUCGAUCUCUCCUUAUUCUCCUUUCACCAAAAUUAAGUGCAAGCCCACAAACUCUGCACUAUUCUCGUCCCUGAAAAUAACAGAGAAGACCUCGUGGUGGUGUCCAUUUUUCCUUGAUGUUGUGUUCGUGGUGUCGGGUUUGGGAGAUCAAGAGGAGAUCAAGCAAGUUCAUGCUACGGAGAGGAAAUGCGGAGAUACAGAUCUUCAAGGAGACCGAUGCAUUCGAUUACUUCCACUGUGGGUAUUCAAAUUCCCUUCAAGAGUCACUCGCACUGCCGCUUCCAGUUGCCAACCGGCGCGUGUUGUCACCGAUUCGUCAUGGGUAAGUCUCUCUCUCUCCAGAUCUAUGUUUUUCCACACAACGUUACCCACAAACAGGGUUGCUCCACCGUUGCUUUCGAUCAUUUUCUACGCACCGUCGUCACUGUUUCUGUCAUCGGCCGGCAUCAGUUAAAGGCAGCAUUGUCGUUUUGGUGGGUAUUCUGGUGUAUUUUGGUUGUAAAUAAACCUUUUGUGUUGUUUCAAGGUUAGAUACAGGGUUUAUCGAAGGUUUUAACUGUUUUCCAGCGAUUUGAAGACAUUUGAUGGACGAUAUCAGUUAAGUUAUAGUUGGUAAAGCUUAGAAUUUUAGAGCAAGGGACUUUUGGGUAAGAGAUCCAAGCAUUACAGAAUCUUAUGUCUUGAUGAUGGUCUCCAAUACAAAGAAGUUGUGGUUUAUAAAUAGUUUUGUUGAUAAGUUGUUGUUCAUGGUUUCAUGUUCUUAGUCAUUAUCUUUGGUUGAGAAGUGGAGAAGGUGCAUCUAACACAAAUUGGACUUCAUGACAACGUUAAUAAUAGUUACAAGGUAAUAUUUAUAAGACAUUUAUCUUAAAAGUCUAACUUGUGUUUUGAAGUAUUGGAUUAGUUUCAAUUCUUUUCUUUUGUUUCAAUGAUAAUGUUAUGUGACACGUGUAUCUUCAUUUUUUUUAAUGUAAAUGAUUAGUUGAUGUUUAAUUUGUUUGAAAAAUGACUUGGUCUUAGGUCUUUCUAUGAAUGAAGAGGUUAGCAAGAAUUUUGUUAAUGAGAAAAGUUUCUAUGAAAGAAGAGGUGGGUGUUUGAUGUAUUUCAAUAUUUUGUUUCAUUUCAAUUAAGGUGGGUGUUUGAUUAUAGGUGUUUGUGUGAAUGACUAAAUCAAUUUGUGUUUGUAUGUUUGCGUUCAUCUUUCUAGAAUUAAUUAUUAGUUUCUAUGUUGAUCUUGAGUGCUUACUAAUUUUUAAAGAAGAUAAAAGCCUGGUGAAGUUAUAUUGAAAACAUUCAAGACAGAAUGAAAUACUUUCGUAGGAAAACGCUUGAGUUUAAGUUGGGUGUGGUGAAGCCGGUGACUUCAUUAGGGAAAAAAAAAGCUAGGUGUGGUGAAACUGACGAUGAGACUUCAUGAAGCUCAAAAAGACAAUUAUUUAAGGUCAACAAGUAAUUUUAAAAUUUUAGAGUCAUGUACUUAUUAUGGUUACUAAUCGUUUAUCUUUGUAAGUUGAAUAUAACUUGU